rnacentral:misc_RNA from 1 species
AACCAUAGAAACCUGCGGAGUACCUGCGGAAGGAUCAUUACAAGUGACCCCGGUCUAACCACCGGGAUGUUCAUAACCCUUUGUUGUCCGACUCUGUUGCCUCCGGGGCGACCCUGCCUUCGGGCGGGGGCUCCGGGUGGACACUUCAAACUCUUGCGUAACUUUGCAGUCUGAGUAAACUUAAUUAAUAAAUUAAAACUUUCAACAACGGAUCU